CACCAAACUAAUAGCCUUUGUAAAGCUGAAUAAAUUACACAGAAAUUAUAAUUACGGGUUAAAAGAAUCGUCCAGUGUUUUCACAGCUCUUCCGAAUUACACAGUAACACAAAUCUCUGACACUUACGAGUGGGAAGAUCUGUUUCACAGUAACAUAAUUUUAAUUUACAUUGACAUUCCUUUUAAAUAUAUUACUAUGAUGUUUAUAUCACAAUGGUGCUUUCCAAUGUCCACAAUUUACAAUUUCAAUUUAUAAUUCAUUAAUGUAAGGGACAGAUGUUACUACUGUAACUGUAACUAAGCAGAAAAAUAAACCAACAGCCUACAAACAAGUAUAAAAAUAAUAUGACUUCUAAUAUAUGAAUGUAACAUGAUUUUUCACAUUUGGGCUGUUUUCUAAACAACAGUAUGUAAACUUGCCUAUUUAAUAUAUGACAGCUAUAACUUUAUUCACUGAGAAAUAAUGCAUUUAUUUUCCUCAACCUUUUCUCUCCCUUUAUCUCAAAAUAUUCUUGACUUGCUGUUUUUAGUCAAUGAAUAACAAACUGUACUUAUUGGUGGGGAGGUAAAAAGACGACAAACACUGUAAAAAGAAAAUGACGACCCCGCAAAUUAAUUCUUACAUUUUUUCUCUUUUAUAUCAUUUUUAAAAUUCAGUUAUAUUGCUUAGUCUUUCUUUUGAGACAGGGCUCUCACUAGGUAGUUCUGGAUAAACAGUAUCUCAUGUAAGCUAGGUGGGCCUAGAAUUUAGAUGCACCUGCUUUUGCUUCUGAAGCUAGGAUGAAGAUUUGUAUGCCUCACCAUCGAGAAGCACUUUUUUUAAAACACCAAUACAAAUAAAUUAUGGCAGGAAGGAACCAUCCUUGAUCCUAAAAUUUUAAUUUUCUUGAUAGAAGAACAAAAUUUUUCAAUAAUCCAUUAUAAGUUUAGGUUAGAUAUAUGAUUUGAUUAAGCUGGUCAAAGUAGUAAAAAACCACAAUCCAGAAAAUGGUUGAUUAUUUUGGUUCCGGGGGUGAAAAUUCAAAGAAGAGAGACUAACACACAUUGAAAAAAAACUGUCUCCCAUUUUAAAGAGGAUUUUUAAAAAGUCACUGGAGAGUUUGAACCUCUGAAAUCUAUUUGACCUAUCCAGUAUUCAGGUCUAGAACAGAAUGCUCAAUUUCUUUUCAAUCAUCACUAUCCUUUUCUUGAAUAUCUGACUGAUUGGUAUUCACAGCUUCACACACAUUCAGAGCCUAAUAGCUAGCUCACUACAAUACACUAUUUUUUUGCUUGUCCUUAUUGGUAUUUUUCCCCAACAUGUUCCUUUUAAUGAGGUUUGAUAAUAUUGAACAUUCUGUGAAAAUAACUAAUACAGAGUUAGAAAGAAAUAUACAGGUAUUAAAUAGGAAAAAGCCUUACUUACAGAGCAACCUAGCCAGCCGGCAUGGCAGCAGUAUGUAAGGCAAGUACAGAAGUGAAACUGAAAGAGAAAACACAGUCCCCUGGAAGUCUCACUCUAUAUUACCCUGACCAUGCCCUCGCAAGAGUGGUCAGGCACACCUGUAGCCAGCCCCUAAAUAGGUGAUGUUACAGCUUCUCCUACAAUUCCCCUUUUAGUCUAAAAGAGGAUUAAAACUUAACAGUGAAAAGUAUCCAAAAUUAACAAUCAUAAAGGUAAAUAUAAGAAAAUACAACAAUCUGCUUAUGUCACAUCCUAACUAUCUAUUUUAACUAAGCCCUAAAGUCAUCUGAAAGUGGUGUCCAAGCCUGAACACCUCCUUCCAAUCCCAACCAUAAACAAUAGGAAGCAAUCCCUAACUAGGUAUAUACACUAUCCUAAGUGACAACAAUGGGGAAAGGGGGCAUAGCAUCCUACAAGUUACUUCCUGCUGAAAUGGGAUGAUGAUAGUCAUGUGGGUUCCUGUAGGAAGAAAAUGUUAGUAUAGUGAAAAUCUUGAAUGGAUUGUAUAUAGUCCAUGUUAGAUGGGUUUCACUUGAUUGAAGAUCUCAAUUGAUCCCCAACUUGAUUGAAGUCAGUACCCGAACCUCUGGCCGGAGUGUCAGUUGAAAUGGAGCAAGUUGGAUCCAGUGCAGUGGAGGAGGUGUCUCCCAUUUUCUUUAGAGGGUGUCCAGGGAAUGCUGUCAGGCAGGUCUUCAUUGGCUGUGUGGGACUCAAACAUUAACAGUUAGCAGAGAAAUGUUUGCUUGUGGAUGUACAUGUGCUGGGGAGUACAAUCAUGAGACUAUAACAAUUAUGAGAGGGUGUACACCUUGAGGGAAAGAUCCAAGAAAAGACAGAGAAAGUCCCCAAAUUCUUCUUUUAUUCUGUAUUACAUCAUUGGCUUCUUGAUACAAUACAGAAACUCUAAAGUUUAGUUAAAUAAUGUGCUUCGAUUUUAGAGGAGGAAAGCCAAGUCCACCUCUAAAUCCAGCAUUGAUUUAAUUGAAGAGGGACUAGGAAAGAAAGAGAAAUAGAGUUCUCUGAGAGACAGCUGUAAAGUUUACCAUAU
rnacentral:lncRNA from 1 species